UGCCCCGUUGGGUAAUGGUAGCCCACAAGAUUCUGGAUCUUGCUGUCUUGGUUCGAGUCCAAGCGGGGCAACCA
rnacentral:tRNA from 2 species